rnacentral:tRNA from 1 species
UCCCUGGUGACUCAGACAGUAAAGAAUCUGCCUGCAAUGCAGGAAACCCAGGUUUGAUUCCUGGGUUGGGAA